UUGCAGUUAAAAAGCUCGUAGUUGGAUUUCUGGUAGGAGCGGCCGGUCCGCCCCGUAAUGGGGUGUGCACUAGAGCCGCCUCCGGCCAUCCUUGGGGGAACUGCCAUGGCCUUAAUUGGUUGUGGUAUGGAACCCAUCGUUUACUGUGAAAAAAUUAGAGUGUUUAAAGCAGGCUUAGGCCGUUGAAUACAUUAGCAUGGAAUAAUAAGAUAGGACCUUAUGGACCUCUUGUUGGUUUGCGCCGUAAGGUAAUGAUUAAUAGGGAUAGUUGGGGGUAUUCGUAUUCAAUUGUCAGAGGUGAAAUUCUUGGAUUUAUGAAAGACGAACUUCUGCGAAAGCAUUUACCAAGGAUGUUUUCAUUAAUCAAGAACGAAAGUUAGGGGAUCGAAGAU
rnacentral:rRNA from 1 species